rnacentral:rRNA from 1 species
GACGGAGGAUGCAAGCGUUAUCCGGAAUUAUUGGGCGUAAAGCGUCCGUAGGCGGUUUCAAAAGUCUGUUGUUAAAGCCCACAGCUCAACUGUGGAUCGGCAAUGGAAACUGUGAGACUAGAGAGUGGUAGGGGUAGAGGGAAUUCCUAGUGUAGCAGUGAAAUGCGUAGAUAUCGUAAGGAAGACCAGUGGCGAAGGCGGAUCUCUGGACAGUUACUGACACUGAGGCACGAAGGCCAGGGGAGCAAACGGG